rnacentral:rRNA from 1 species
GAUGAACGCUGGCGGCGUGCUUAAUACAUGCAAGUCGAACGGAAAGGCCCGGCUCUUGUGGGGUGCUCGAGAGGCGAACGGGUGAGUAACACGUGAGUAACCUGCCCUUGACUUUGGGAUAACUUCAGGAAGCUGGGGCUAAUAUCGGAUAGGAGCUCCUGCUGCACGGGGGGGGUUGGAAAGUUUCGGCGGUGGGGGAUGGUCUCGCGGCUUAUCAGCUUGUUGGUGGGGUAGUGGCUUACCAAGGCUUUGACGGGUAGCCGGCAUGAGAGGGUUGCCGGCGUCAAUGGGCCUGCGGGACGGCGCAGUAUCCUACGGGCGGCAGUGGUGGGGAACAUUGCGCAGUGGGCGCGCGCCUGAGACGACGGCGCCGCGAGCGGGAUAACCGCUUUCGAGUUAUAAACAGCUUUCGACUGUGCCGAGGAGUGCGUGACGGUAAUGGAUAAGAAAGCACCGGCUAACUACGUG